rnacentral:pre_miRNA from 1 species
AGUGACGGCUGCAGGAGUUUGAUUUCACAUGUGAGUACCGCCUGGGAAACAGACAUACCAAUGCAGAUGUUCUCUC